rnacentral:rRNA from 1 species
GUGGGGAAUAUUGGGCAAUGGGGGCAACCCUGACCCAGCGACGCCGCGUGAAGGAAGAAGGCCUUCGGGUUGUAAACUUCUUUUAUGAGGUACGAAGGACGUGACGGUACCUCAUGAAUAAGCCACGGCUAACUACGUGCCAGCAGCCGCGGUAAUACGUAGGUGGCGAGCGUUGUCCGGAUUUACUGGGUGUAAAGGGCGCGUAGGCGGACUGGCAAGUCAGAUGUGAAAUACAGGGGCUCAACCCCUGAACGGCAUUUAAAACUGUUGGUCUUGAGUAUCGGAGAGGCAAGCGGACUUCCUAGUGUAGCGGUGAAAUGCGUAGAGAUUAGGAGGAACACCAGUGGCGAAGGCGGCUUGCUGGACGACAACUGACGCUGAGGCGCGAAAGCGUGGGGAGCAAACAGGAUUAGAUACCCUGGUAGUCC